rnacentral:rRNA from 1 species
GUGGAUUAGAUACCCUGGUAGUCCACGCUGUAAACGUUGAUCACUCGAUGUCGGCGAUAUACUGUCGGUGUCCAAGCGAAAGUGUUAAGUGAUCCACCUGGGGAGUACGUUCGCAAGAAUGAAACUCAAAGGAAUUGACGGGGGCCCGCACAAGCGGUGGAGCAUGUGGUUUAAUUCGAUGAUACGCGAGGAACCUUACCUGGGCUUGAAAUCAGUAUGACAGAUCUGGAAACAGAUCCUUCUUCGGACAUAUUGGUAGGUGCUGCACGGCCGUCGUCAACU